rnacentral:rRNA from 1 species
GAUGAACGCUGGCGGCGUGCUUAACACAUGCAAGUCGAACGGUGAAGCCAAGCUUGCUUGGUGGAUCAGUGGCGAACGGGUGAGUAACACGUGAGCAACCUGCCCUGGACUCUGGGAUAAGCGCUGGAAACGGCGUCUAAUACUGGAUAUGAGCUUCUACCGCAUGGUGGGGGUUGGAAAGAUUUUUUGGUCUGGGAUGGGCUCGCGGCCUAUCAGCUUGUUGGUGAGGUAAUGGCUCACCAAGGCGUCGACAGGUAGCCGGCCUGAGAGGGUGACCGGCCACACUGGGACUGAGACACGGCCCAGACUCCUACGGGAGGCAGCAGUGGGGAAUAUUGCACAAUGGGCGAAAGCCUGAUGCAGCAACGCCGCGUGAGGGAUGACGGCCUUCGGGUUGUAAACCUCUUUUAGCAGGGAAGAAGCGAAAGUGACGGUACCUGCAGAAAAAGCGCCGGCUAACUACGUGCCAGCAGCCGCCGUAA